CGGCUCAGGCGGGCCUGGGGGCAAGGAGCGGCUCAGGCGGGCCGGGCUCCCUCGCCAUGAGGGGCCGCCGCCGCCAUGAGGCCUUCAGCCGAUGGGGGAUCGCGGUGACCCGCAGCUGUCGGUGGCCGGCAGCAGCCCUGAGGUGGCCCGACCUUGUCGUGUGUGAAACGCCCAAGCUGUGCUGUUCUGUGCUGGGACAGCCAAGGAGGCUCUCCAGGAGGGCACUUGAACCUGUGGAGAGGCGAUGAGAAGGAAUAACCUGCCUGUGAGAGACAGGGAGAGCUCUGGAGCCACGCGGGUGAGGUAAAUUGUUGGUGUGAGGCUUGCUGGAGCAGCAGGAGUGGUCAGAAGUAAAGCUGUCGAUGCUGCUUUGAAGAUCCUUGUUUGAAAGGUAUUGAGAAGAUGGAAACCUGGAGCCCACAGUUUAAAUGAGGCAGCUGGAGAAGAAUUUGUUUUCAGGAUGUGGAUGUAGGAAUUGGAAACAUCAAAGGUGAUUUGGGGCAAAGUAUAACAAGAAUUAUGUGUAGAGUUUAUUGUUAAUCUCCUCUCAUUGCUUUUUUGGAAAUACAUUUUUAUAUGACCUCAAUUAAACGUAUUUAUAUUUAAGCUUGCUCAGUUUGCUUUUCAUUAUCUUACAAGGCUGUUGGAUGCAGCAGAAUUUGAGUGAAGACUGGAGAGGCUGUAGUGAGGCACCAGCUCUCAUCCC